ACAUACGACCAUAGACUCAAGAGAAUUGGGCAUCCCGUCCGCUCUGCCAUACACAAGCUUGAGAUCGGUGGAUUAGUAGUUGGGUGGGUGACCACCAGCGAAUACCCACUGUUGUAUGUC
rfam:Pseudogymnoascus pannorum VKM F-4281 (FW-2241) contig_975, whole genome shotgun sequence.